UCAGAAUUAAAUAUGCUUAAAAAGAAUUAUAUGGUUGGUGUGGUGGUACGUUUGAUCCUCGUCCCAGUCAGCAGUGAGGAUACAGGCAGAAACUCCUGUACAGUAGAAGGCUACAAUGAUCUCAACUUUCCUGUGUUGUCUGUGGGGGAACAAUCGUCUUUGAAGGAAGCAGCUGUAGGAAUCAUAGUGUAUGUUCUGAUUCUCAUCCUCUGGCUUUAAGUGGUUCAGGUGAGUGAGAGGAAUUAACCCCUUUUCAUAUUCUGUUUUAUAAUCAUUGAUCUCAAUAUUAAACUUGAUUUUAAUUUCUGAAUUAAUUCAUCCAAUCAUCUGUUCAUUUAUUUAUUCUUUCCAUCAUUCGCAAAAACAGGGAGAAGGCCUCCAAAUCCACCUCUGACAGAAGAGACACAGCAGAGAAUGGACUUGUGAGUCUGUUGGAAUCAGCUGACUGACAACGCGAGACGCUAGUCCAAUUUAUGUCAACGGCUCAGGCAUGGCCAUGACCCCUUCUGCAGCACAGACAGCAGACACAGAUGAUCAGGAUGAUGUUCACAACAUCAGUAUUCACCACAGAAACCAGAAAGUGCCUCUAUAUUCCACCGUCCAACUGCCUCAAACCCAGAAAUAGGUUGGGUUCUUCUAUGUGUGUAUUGGCAGUUUUUAAAAUAAAUUAAAAAGGUGCAAACUGC